rnacentral:lncRNA from 1 species
CAUGGUGGAUGUCCCAGAAGCACUCUGUGACUUUGGCUCCAGUGUCAACAUUAUACCCAGGGUACUCUAUGAAAAAUUCUUUACAUAUCCUUUAUUAGAGACAACAAUGUGUUUGCAGUUUGCAGAUCAGACGAUAACUUUUCCAAAAGGAAUAGUGAGGAACCUUUGUGUCCGAGUUGGUACCUUGUAUGCACCAGCAGACUUCGUAGUGGUAGAGACCGGAAAUGAUGAGAGAGCACCUAUCAUCCUAGGGAGGCCAUUUUUGAACACCACGGGAGCUAUCAUCUACGCCAGUGCUGCUAAGAUCAGUUUCUACAUCAAAGGGAAGAAGGAGAUAUUUUUCUUCAAGAACAAGACUACACAAAUUCAAGAUCAAUCCAGACGUAAAUCAAGGAAGAGGACCAACAGGAGAAACAGGAACAAGCAAGUGUGGACCGAGUCAGCUAAGAUGGUCACUGUAGUCCAUGGAUGCCAAGAUCAUCAACUUAAGUCGCCGUUUUUGACCAAGAAAGAAAACCCAUGAAUGCCAAGCAUCUACUGCUCCAUAAAUGGAUAUAACUUCUACAAGACGAUUUGCGACACCGGAUCAGGCGUCAACAUAAUGGCCGCAGUCACCUAUCGGCUCUUGUUCGGAACCAUGCCACUAAGACCAACAUACAUUCAACUCCAGAUGGCAGAUCAGACAUUUCGAGAAGUUAAAGGAAUAGUAUCUGAUGUCCCAGUCAAAAUAGACGAUCACUUUGUCUACACAGACUUUCAAGUUGUUGACAUGGGAGAAGAUGAAUAUGAUCCACCCAUCAUCCUUGGAAGACCGUUCCUCAGCACCGUUAAAGCAAUUAUCUAUAUUGGAACCGGAGAAGUCCAUAUGCACUUCCCCUCAGAGAAGGUACGCCGUUAUUUUACUGACCCUGACUAUAUCGUUGAAGAAUCUAAGCAGGUCAGAAAGAGACGCAGCCGCAACCAGAGGAGGCAGAUCAUCAAGGACGGAUGGGCAGACUAUGAAGGAGAAGUUGUAAGGUCAGAAGACGUAGAGUUUAAACAGAAUUAUCCAGAGGAGAUUGAAGCACCGAGUCAGGUAUGGAAAAUGAAGAUAACUAUACAAGAAGAGGAGGCGCUGCCGGAAGUACCGACUAUGCCACCCAACGAACCUCAGGACGAUUAAGAAAUUGGAGAGUCCCGUUCAGAGGACUUAAAAACACCGAACGCCUUGCCAAGAGGUAAACUUGGUAGUUAUCCUUUCCCUUUCAAUUAUUUUAAAUAGUUUACUUAGUUAAUCAUAUUCAUACUAUCUUAAAAAUAAAAGAAAAUAAAAAUGUGAAAAACAGUAAGCCCCAUGUGAGUAGACAAGUGGCAUAAAACCCAUAAGUACAUUCACUGUGGUGGCAUAAAAAUAAAAUAAAUAUUUUUCUGCUUUAUAAAAAUAAAAAUAAAAAUAUAAAAACAGGGAGUAAUAUUUAUUAAGGAGUCUCAAGAUGAUGAAGGCUAUAUAUUUAUGCUAACACUUAAUCAGUUCCACAAGCUUUGUUGUCUAUUUGAGCUCCACAGAAUUCAAGAAGACUAGCAGACGGAGGACAUUCUAAUCGCUGUCAGAAUGCUGCUGACUUUCAACUACACCUCUGCCACCUGCUAGCUAUAUCAAGAGAAAUUACGUCAAAAUUCAGCUUGGGGGAGAGCACCCCCAUUUAUUCCGAUAAGUAUUUUUAUCUAUCUUUAUACUUAUAUUAUUUUAGAAUAUUAAUACACAUAAACUAUGGGAAAACCAAAUAAAGAUUUUAUGCUUAUAUAUAUAUUACUUAGUGUGUUUAAUUAAUAAAUAAAGUGGCUAUGCUAAUCUGUAUCUAAUAAAACUUAAGCAUGGAUAUGAUGAAUAGUUGCUCUGCCUAAUUUGCACAUUUUAAGUUCUCUCUCAAGUUUAGACAUAACUGUUAUAAUUUAAAGCUUGCCCUAGACCUAAACUUGUGGGAUGAAAACUUGAUCUGAAGUCUAAGUUGUUAACGGAUACGAUAUGGAAAGACUGAGCUGCUGUUUAUCUGUUCCUAGAGAUGCUAGAAUUCUAGAGAAUUUUAUCUUUGAAAAUCUUUAAAAUGUUGCAUGAUGAGUUCCUGUAUGAUGAGAGUUUAAAUUCCUACCACAGCCAUAUAUAUAUGCUUGCUAGACCUUGAGCCACGCAUUUACUAUUUACUGCUUAUGAGCAUUGAGUAUGGUCAAGCUGUGUAGACCCUUAGGAACUUGUCAUGUGGUUAAAUCAAGAUUUCACUUGCACGUUCACUCAUAUAUGCUACUUCUACUCCGGAAGUACCAUCCACAUAUAUCCACCCAUUCCAUCUCCAGAACCACCUAAAAAUAUUCUACUCCUAAUCCGGGAGAGAAUAACCAAAAAUAUUUCUGUUUUCCCUUGUGAAAUAAAUGCUCAAGUUAUCUUGGUACUACCACUUGCUAUAUUAUCUCAAGAGAUGAGUGCUCUAAAAAAAAAGAAGAAGAAGAAAAUAAUACGAGGAAAUAAAAAGGAGCAAGUGCUCGGAACCUCGAAAGAAAAGAAAAAGUGAGACGAGAGGUAAAAAUGGACAAGUGUCCGACAGUAGAAUUAGGGGUGCAAGAUACCCACCUGAGAGAAAAGAAAAAGAAGAGCAUCUCAUUCUCCUCAUAAAGUUUCAAAAGCAAGGAAGGUAUGUAUCCCCUCAAAAGAGCAAAGUAGAAUUAGACUUUCACCACCAUUGUUUUCACCAUUCUUUUCACCAUUGUUUUCACCAUUGUUAUCACUAUCACCACCAUACAUCAUUCAUUCGCCACACAUGCACAUCUUGAUUUGGCUUAUUGAUUUGUUUCUUUGGAUCCACGGUUUGACUAUGCAAUAAAUGUCUUGUAAGUAUGUAUAUUUUAUCUCCCACCUAUGAGCUCCAGAUAUUAAAGCCUUAUUAGAGUAGGAUGAGAGAGAAGGCAAUGUCACUAUGCCUCAUACCACAAAUACCACAUAUCUUGAGAGAAGGCAUAUACCAUCAAUGCCUUGGUAAGGAUCCAAAAAUACCACAAAAGAGAGACCUGAGAGAAUCAUACAAGGAAUUCUGAGUUUUAUUUGAAAAUCUGCAAAAACCCCAGAGCUAUAGCUGAUCAAGAAUAAGAGACAUGGCACUUAGCUAGACUGUUCUAUCUUUUAACCACUCAAGACAGAAGUGACAGUUACAAGUCCCAUGGUGAAGGUAAAGUAAGUAAGUUUUAAGUCUUGACAGUUUACUCUUACUCAGAGAUGAGAUCUUAUUUAAAAGCAUGUGUACCGUCAAAUUUUUAAAGAUAUUGCAACUACUUAUGAUCCAUAGCUGAGUCUAUCCUUGCUCAGGGACAAGCAAGAGGUAAGCUUGGGGGAGUUUGUUGACGGUCCUUAAGUAUCAAAUUUAAUUAUCAAAUAAAUAAAGAAAAGGAUCCAAAUGAAAUCAAGAUCUGCAGGGAGUUAUCAGGAAAUAUGGAAGAAAGGCCCACAUGUCAGGAUUACGUAAAGAUAUUAACGUGCUGCGCAAUUAUCUUACAUCUAGAAGACUCCAGAAGCCACGAGACCGAAGCGGAGGCGAAACGGGGCCAGACCCUGGGCGGCCGCCCAGUUGGUCAGGGCGCCCGCGCACCUCUGGAGUCCAAUCAGGACUCUGCUUUGCGGGAAGUCUCCACCGACCUAAAGGAUGAAUCUAAACCAUACAAUCUAUGUCGGUUUGAUCCAAGGGCCCAUAUUCACUUGAAGGGACUAUAAAACCAGACCCCCUGGCCCCUGGAGGAGAGAGUCUCUCAACCCUAAUUCAUUGUUCCAUCAAGGGAGAAGAAGCCUCUGAUCAAGAUUAGAGCCACCACAUCAAUUAGAUAUCUAGAUUAGCAUAGCUACAUAGGAUUAGAACUAGAAGGAGUCAAUCUUCGAUUGGUUUCCGGAUCUGUUAGGAGGAUUCUUGGUAAUUCUCUAAUUGUGCUUCUAAUUGCUUUCUAAUUAUCUUUGUUCUUCAAUAUUAUGAAUAUGACUUUGUUCUACUUCAAUAUAUUGCUUAUGACUUUGCUCUACUUGCUUAUAUUCAAGAUUAUAUUGUUCUUAGUUUAUCAUAGUUAUGUACUUGGCUUAGUUAGAUACGAUCUAUAUACAUGCUUAGGAUCGUAUAGCGUUUAUCCAUCGGAUCCAUGGGUAAAUGAUAGAUAUUGUGUAGGCGUGGUGCUUAUACCGUAUUUAUCUGCGAUUGUGCCCAAUAUGCCAGAUCGUGGGGUAGUUCGUGAUAGUGACAGCUUCAUUGAUUCUUAUAUAGUCCCCCUCUCGUGUAUUGGGCUGGCAGAGCAACAUUAUUACAGGGGAGUGAUUGCUAUGUUUCUCAUAUUCCUUGCUAAUAUCACUAUGCAUGGGCGUAGUCUUGUCUCGCAAUGAUUGCUAAGUAUGCUUGCACUAACUAUGAUAUGCUAGACUAUAUAGUUGAGAAUAACUUAGGGAAUAUUCUUGUAGUUCGUUCUAAUACCAUGCUAAUGACUUUCUAGAGUAUCUAAUUGAGGUGUUUAUCAUAUUUAUUAUGUGGCUAGAUCAGAUUAGUUAUCCUUGUCACUAUUAUCAUUUCAUAUAUCUAUUAUGUGACACUUAUCCCUGUAUGAAGAGUUAGAUAUAAUGUUCUCCAUUAUACAUGCAAUGAUAGAUGCUCAAUCUCAUAUUCUAUUCUGUAAUCAAUAGUGAUGAUUGACUAAUCCCUUCCCAGUGGUAAAAAUAUAAAUAACGAUACCUGGAAUACUUCCCGGUUAAAAUGCUGCAUCGGUAUUAAUCUGUGCGCUUGCAGAUCCCAUUCAUUAUUUAUUUAGAAGAGCAAUUGCAUAUUUCAAUACCGCGUCUCUUAUAUCAUGCUGGGGAUGACAACUUGGCUUAAGUGGUGUGAGGGAUAGGUUUGGCAUUUUUGGCACCGUUGCUAGAUUUAGAACUUAGUCUACUUUUAGUAAUGAUGUUAAGAAUACCCAACAGUCGGUACAAUCCUAAACUCUGAAACUAGUGGACUGGUCGACCAGUCCCCGAGCGUAUAAUGCUCAGAUUGGUCGGUGCAGUCCCUAGGUCUCCAAACUGGUAGACUAGCCGACCAGUCCCCGAGCGUAUAGUGUUCGGUGGUCGGUGCAGUCCAAGAGAAACUCUGAAUAUUCAGAUUGGAGACGAAGAUAACAUUAAUGAGCAUGGAAUUUAUUUCAUAGCAACUUUGUUUACUCCAUGCUCAUAUGCAACAUCUUCCCAAUCUAUUGGUCUCUCCAACAUCACCACAUUUGAGAUCUCCAACCCCCUCUUCCUUUCUAUUUAUAAAAACUUUAAAAGGGCGGUUGUCGAUGGAUAUGUCUAUAAUAAAUAUUGCAGAUCUCGUUUAGUUGAUCUUGAUUUAGGUCAGCGUUGGAAGGGAAACCACUUCGCCAACAUAAAUUGAUGGUUUCCCAAGGACAAGCUUGGUGUCCUAAAAUAAGCACUGAUCAGAUCGUAACAUGAGUUUUUAAUUAUUUGCAACAUUACCUUGUGUAUUGAGCAUAUAAGGAUAAUUGUAAAAAUAUUCCUUCGGGUAUUCUUGUCACUAACCUUUCUAGGAUUGGAGCAAGAAGAUCGGAUGAAUGACAAGCACAAGGUAUGUCCAACCGAUCAUCAUACAACAUUGAAUUAAAUUCAGCCAAACUUAAAUUCUACAAAAUUCAAGCUUGGGGGAGUACUUUACAUAAAAACAUUCUUUGCCAUGUUGCUAUGUUGGUUGUCCCUACCUUUAAGACAUGCUCAAUUUGUCAAAUACUAAUCACACUACUUCAUCUCCACUUGAGUAGAUCUCUAUAAAUGCUGUCAUGUUACCUUUGUCUAUUUACUAGUAAGUGUUAGUUUGGAAGUACUGCACAUACUUCUAUUGGCUUUUAAAUUAAGCAUGGUGCUUAGGUUAAACAGCCUUCGUUAAUCUGAUUAGACAUGGAGUCUAGUUCGGUUAUUGAACUAAAAACUGCUUGUGUAGACAUUGGUAUAUUUUUGUCGGACUAACCCCUGCAGAAAAAAACUUUUAAUAUCGAUUUGGGAAGUCCUGAGAUAAACUCACAUCACAGACGAAGAGAGUAACACAUGAAGUUUAACAAUUUGCACAAGAAGGACAUAGCUCAUUCAUCAUAGAGAGAUGAUCCAUGGAGGGUGCCACAAACACGAUGCACAACCGCUAAGAAAGGAAAGCUUCCACAAGGUGAUACCGUACCAUCACUCUUCAAGCAAGGUAACAUCUUAAGGUACUUGACUAUCACUUUUAUAAGCUUCUCCUUGGUUCUAGCGUUCAUAUAAAUAAAAGAGACAAACAUGUAUGAUUUACAACUCUAGAUUAACCAACCCAACUGAUUCAACAUGUUUAGUCCUUUAAUCCUUGUUCUUAGUACUACCUCCAUGAUCCCACACUCCUAAUCAUAUAAGCUAAAAUGUUACACAUUCAAUCUUUGAGAGAUAUAAAGAAAAAGACAUAUACAUAGAUAGAUUAUCUUUCCAUAAGGUUGAGCGAUCUGAUCUCACAAAUGUUAUAAGUGCUACACUCAUGAACUUUUCAUCCAUCAACUUUGUCUUGCUCACUAUGCUUAGGGUUAGAGAAGAACAAAUACACUUUAGGUUCUGUUGGUGUUUUCCACCAACAGGACCCAUGCACUUGAUCUCUGCCUUGUCUCUAUGAGCAGGUACACUUUGAGCAAAACACGGAGGAGUUUUAUAACUCUCAGACUCUACCAAGUGAAGGACCUGGAUCUACGACCACAAACACACUGAGCAGGUUACUGCCAACGCCGCACUUCGAACUGCUGGGCAAACAAAGAACAUGGGUGACACCGUAUCAAGAGGUGCAGACGUCAAGGUCAGCACCUGAAUCAAAUGACGCACCUGAAGAAUGAACACGGUAAGAAGUCUUGUUAAGAAGACUUAAAACAUUGAACCCUCGCCGAAAGGUAAGAUCAGUAGUUAUCCAUAUUUAUCCUUUCUGCAUUCCCUUUUCCCUUUAAUUAUUUACUUUCCUUAAAUAGAUUAUUAGUUAAUCAUGCUAUCUUGAAAAGAAAAUAAAAAUGUUAAAAAAUACUAAGCCCCAUGUGUGUAUACGAGUGACAUAAAACCCAUAAGUACCUUCACUGUGGUGGCAUAAAAAUAAAAUAAAUAUUUCUUUUCUGCUUUAUAAAAUAAAAAUAUAAAAACAAAGAGUAAUAUUUAUUGAGGAAGCUCAACAUGAUGAAGGCUAGAUAUUUAUGCUAACACUUAAUUAGUUCCACAAGCUUUGUUGUCUAUUUGAGCUCCACAGAAUUUAAGAAUCAAGAAGACUAGCAGACGGAGGACAUUCUAAUCGCUGUCAAAAUGCUGCUGACUUUCAAAUACACCUCUGUCACCUGCUAGCUACAUCAAGAGAAAUUACGUCAAAAUUCAGCUUGGGGGAGAGCACCCCCAUUUAUCUCGCUAAGUAUUUCUACCUAUCUUUAUACUUAUAUUAUAUUAGAAUAUUAAAAUACAUAAACUAUGAAAAACCAAAUAAAGAUUUUGUGCUUAUAUAUAUCUUUUGCUUAGUGUGUUUAAUAAAUAAAGUGGCUAUGCUAAUCUGAAUCUUAAUAAUAAAACUAGCAUGGAUAUGAUGAAUAGUUGCUCUGCCUAAUUUGCAAAUUUGAAGUUCUCUCUCAAGUUUAGACAUAACUGUUAUAAUUUAAAGCUUGCUCUAGAUCUAAACUUGUGGGAUGAAACCUUGACCUGAAAUCUAAGUUGUUAACGGAUAUGAUAUGGGAAGGCUGAGCUGUUAUUUAUCUGUUCCUAGAGAUGCUAGAAUUCUGGAGAAUUUUAUCUUUGAAAAAUCUUUAAAAUAUUGCAUGAUGAGUUCCUGUAUGAUGAAAGUUUAAAUUCCUACCACAGCCAUAUAUACAUGCUUGCUAGACUUUGAGCCACACAUUUAUUAUUUACUGCUUAUGAGCAUUGAGUGUGGUCAAGCUGUGUAGACCCUUAGGAGCUUGUCAUGUGGUUAAAUCAAGAUUCACUUGCACGUUCACUCAUAUAUGCUACUUCUACUCCGGAAGUACCAUCCACAUAUAUCCAUCCAUGUCCAUCUCCAGAACCACACAAAAAUAUUCUACUCCUAAUCCGGGAGAGAAUAGCCAAAAAUAUUUCUGUUUUCCCUUGUGAAAUAAAUGCUCAAGUUAUCUUGCUACUACCACUUGCUAUAUUAUCGCAAGAGAUGAGUUCUCUGAAAAAAAGAAAAAAAAUAAAAAAAUAUACGAGGAAAUAAAAAGGGGCAAGUGCCCGGAACCUCGAAAGAAAGAAAAAGUGAGACGAGAGGUAAAAAUGGACAAGUGUCCGACAGUAGAAUUAGGGGCACAGGAUACCCACCUGAGAGGAAAGAAAAAAAAUGAAAGAUAGAGCAUCUCAUUCUCCUCAUAAAGUUUCAAAAAGCAAGGAAGGUAUGUAUCCCCUCAAAAGAGCAAAAGUAGAAUUAGACUUUCACCAUUGUUAUCACCAUCAUCACCAUACACCAUUCAUUCGCCACACGUGCACAUCUUGAUUUGGCUUAUUGAUUUGUUUCUUUGGAUCCAUGGUUUGACUAUACAAUAAAUGUCUUGUAAGUAUGUAUACUUUAUCUCUCACCUAUGAGCUCCAGAUAUUCAAGCCUUAUUAGAGUAGGGUGAGAGAGAAGGCAAUAUCACUAUGCCUUAUACCACAAAUACCACAUAUCUUGAGAGAAGGCAUAUACCAUCACUACCUUGGUAAGGAUCCAGAAAUACCACAAAAGAGAGAUUUAGAGUCAUACAAGGAAUCUCUGAGUUUUAUUUGAAAAUCUGCAAAAACUUCAGAGCUAUAGCUGACCAAGAAUAAGAGACAUGGCACUUGGCUAGACUGUUCUAUCUUUUAACUACUCAAGACAGAAGUGACGGUUACAAGUCCCAUGGUGAAAGGUAAAGUAGGUAAGUUUUAGUUCUUGACAGUUUACUCUAACUCAGAGAUAAGAUCUUAUUUAAAAGCAUGUGUACCGUCAAAUUUUUAAAGAUAUUGCAACAACUUCUGAUCCAUUGCUGAGUCUAUCCUUGCUCAGGGACGAGCAAGAGGUAAGCUUGGGUGAGUUCGUUGACGGUCCUUAAGUAUCAAAUUUAAUUAUCAAAUAAACAAAGAAAAGGAUCUAAAUGAAAUCAACAUCUAGACUUAGGGUUUUAUCUAACAGAAUUCCAUGAGUUUUAGUGUUUGUCUAUUUCUGCAGGGGGUUAUCAGGAAAUACGGAAGAAAGGCCCACACGUCGGGAUUACAUAGAGAUAUUAACGUGCAGCGCAAUUAUCUUACAUCUAGAAGACUCCAGAAGCCACGGGAAGGAAGCGGAGGCCGAACAGGGCCAGAGGCAGGGCGCCCGCCCUGACUUGGAGCCCAAUCAGGAAUCUUUCUCUCGGGAGAUCUCCACCGACCUAAAGCAUCAAGAAUAACCGUUCAAUCAAUGUCGGUUUGAUCCGACGGCCCAGGUUCAUUUGAGGGGACUAUAUAACCAGACCCCCUGGCCCCUGGAGGAGGCACCCCUUGAUCAUUAUUCAUUAUUCAUAAACAGAGCAAAAGCUAGGGUUUAGAGAUGAGAGCUCUCCUCUCUUCUCUAAACUAGAGUUGAUCUAGAUAGUAGCAAGAUGGAGAGCGA